AUGUAUGAUCUUAAGAAUUUUGGUACAAAUCUCACAGAGAAACUUGAGAUUGCAAUCAAGGGUAUAAAACAAAAUAACAGUCCUGGGAAGAAGAAGCAUCUACCAUAUAUUCCACCAUCUCGUCCCACAGUCUUGCUUUACAGUUCCAAGAUGGAAUCACCAAAUGAAGAUGCUCAUAUGGCAAUGCCUACAACAGAAAUACCAGACAUCAUCAAUUGCCUAAUCUCUGAAUUUUAUCCCAGCCUUUUAAAUGUUUCCUGGUACAUUGACGGGAUUCUUAUUUCAUCAAAUAUUACAAACUUUGGUCCCGCAGUUGACAGUGCUGGGAAAUACAUGUUGAACAGUGUUCUCAGAGUUCUGCCAUCUGACUGGAGCAAAGGAAGAGUUUUUACAUGUCGGGUCUCUCAUACAUCGUUAACUUCACCUAUUACAAGGAAAAUUCACAAACCAAAUAUUCCACCAUCUCGUCCCACAGUCUUGCUUUACAGUUCCAAGAUGGAAUCAUCAAAUGAAGCUGCUAAUACGGCAAUGCCUGCAACAGAAAUACCAGACAUCGUCAAUUGCCUAAUAUCUGAAUUUUAUCCCAGCCUUUUAAAUGUUUCUUGGUACAUUGAUGGGAUUCUUAUUUCAUCAAAUAUUACAAACUUUGGUCCCGCAGUUGACAGUGCUGGAAAAUACAUGUUGAACAGUGUUCUCAGAGUUCUGCCAUCUGACUGGAGCAAAGGAAGAGUGUUUACGUGUCGGGUCUCUCAUGUAUCUUUAACUUCACCUAUUACAAGGAAAAUUCACAAACCAAAUAUUCCACCAUCUCGUCCCACAGUCUUGCUUUACAGUUCCAAGAUGGAAUCAUCAAAUGAAGCUGCUAAUACGGCAAUGCCUACAACAGAAAUACCAGACAUCAUCAAUUGUCUAAGCUCUGAAUUUUAUCCCAGCCUUUUAAAUGUUUCCUGGUACAUUGAUGGGAUUCUUAUUUCAUCAAAUAUUACAAACUUUGGUCCUGCAGUUGACAGUGCUGGAAAAUACAUGCUGAACAGUGUUCUCAGAGUUCUGCCAUCUGACUGGAGCAAAGGAAGAGUUUUUACAUGUCGGGUCUCUCAUGCAUCUCUAACUUCACCUAUUACAAGGAAAAUUCACAAACCAAAUAUUCCACCAUCUCGUCCCGCAGUCUUGCUUUACAGUGCCAAGAUGGAAUCAUCAAAUGAAGAUGCUAAUAUUGCAAUGCCUACAACAGAAAUACCAGACAUCAUCAAUUGCCUAAUCUCUGAAUUUUAUCCCAGCCUUUUAAAAGUUUCCUGGUACAUUGAUGGGAUUUUUAUUUCAUCAAAUAUUACAAACUUUGGUCCCGCAGUUGACAGUGCUGGGAAAUACAUGUUGAACAGUGUUCUCAGAGUUCUGCCAUCUGACUGGAGCAAAGGAAGAGUGUUUACGUGUCGGGUCUCUCAUGCAUCUUUAACUUCACCUAUUACAAGGAAAAUUCACAAACCAAAUAUUCCACCAUCUCGUCCCGCAGUCUUGCUUUACAGUGCCAAGAUGGAAUCAUCAAAUGAAGAUGCUAAUAUUGCAAUGCCUACAACAGAAAUACCAGACAUCAUCAAUUGCCUAAUCUCUGAAUUUUAUCCCAGCCUUUUAAAUGUUACCUGGUACAUUGAUGGGAUUCUUAUUUCAUCAAAUAUUACAAACUUUGGUCCCGCAGUUGACAGUGCUGGGAAAUACAUGUUGAACAGUGUUCUCAGAGUUCUGCCAUCUGACUGGAGCAAAGGAAGAGUUUUUACAUGUCGGGUCUCUCAUGCAUCUCUAACUUCACCGAUUACAAGGAAAAUUCACAAACCAAAUAUUCCACCAUCUCGUCCCGCAGUCUUGCUUUACAGUGCCAAGAUGGAAUCAUCAAAUGAAGAUGCUAAUAUUGCAAUGCCUACAACAGAAAUACCAGACAUCAUCAAUUGCCUAAUCUCUGAAUUUUAUCCCAGCCUUUUAAAUGUUUCCUGGUACAUUGAUGGGAUUUUUAUUUCAUCAAAUAUUACAAACUUUGGUCCUGCAGUUGACAGUGCUGGGAAAUACAUGUUGAACAGUGUUCUCAGAGUUCUGCCAUCUGACUGGAGCAAAGGAAGAGUGUUUACGUGUCGGGUCUCUCAUGCAUCUUUAACUUCACCUAUUACAAGGAAAAUUCACAAACCAAAUAUUCCACCAUCUCGUCCCACAGUCUUGCUUUACAGUUCCAAGAUGGAAUCAUCAAAUGAAGAUGCUAAUAAGGCAAUGGUAUAA